rnacentral:rRNA from 1 species
AUGAACGCUGGCGGCAUGUUUAAGGCAUGCAAGUCGAUCGCAAUUUUUUUCGCAAGAAGAAAACAGACGAGGCGAACGGGUGAGUAACACAUUGGUAAUUUACUCUUCACUCGGGUAUAACCCAUCGAAAGGUGGGACAAUCCCCGAUAUACACGAGGGGACACAAGUCAUUCUCGUGGAAAGCUCCGACGGUGAAGAAGAAGCCUAUGGCCCAUCAGCUUGUUGGCGGAGUAAUAGCCCACCAAGGCGAUGACGGGUAUGGGGUGUGAGAGCACGACCCCACACACUGGGACUGAGACACUGCCCAGACUCCUACGGGAGGCUGCAGUCAAGAAUCUUCCACAAUGGGCGAAAGCCUGAUGGAGCAAUGCCGCGUGCAGGAAGACGGCCUUCGGGUUGUAAACUGCUUUUGGAGGGGACGAAUUGAUGACGGUACCCUCAGAAUAAGUCACUGCUAACUUCGU